rnacentral:rRNA from 1 species
AUGGAGAGUUUGAUCCUGGCUCAGGAUGAACGCUGGCGGCGUGCCUAAUACAUGCAAGUCGAGCGAACGGACGAGAAGCUUGCUUCUCUGAUGUUAGCGGCGGACGGGUGAGUAACACGUGGAUAACCUACCUAUAAGACUGGGAUAACUUCGGGAAACCGGAGCUAAUACCGGAUAAUAUUUUGAACCGCAUGGUUCAAAAGUGAAAGACGGUCUUGCUGUCACUUAUAGAUGGAUCCGCGCUGCAUUAGCUAGUUGGUAAGGUAACGGCUUACCAAGGCAACGAUGCAUAGCCGACCUGAGAGGGUGAUCGGCCACACUGGAACUGAGACACGGUCCAGACUCCUACGGGAGGCAGCAGUAGGGAAUCUUCCGCAAUGGGCGAAAGCCUGACGGAGCAACGCCGCGUGAGUGAUGAAGGUCUUCGGAUCGUAAAACUCUGUUAUUAGGGAAGAACAUAUGUGUAAGUAACUGUGCACAUCUUGACGGUACCUAAUCAGAAAGCCACGGCUAACUACGUGCCAGCAGCCGCGGUAAUACGUAGGUGGCAAGCGUUAUCCGGAAUUAUUGGGCGUAAAGCGCGCGUAGGCGGUUUUUUAAGUCUGAUGUGAAAGCCCACGGCUCAACCGUGGAGGGUCAUUGGAAACUGGAAAACUUGAGUGCAGAAGAGGAAAGUGGAAUUCCAUGUGUAGCGGUGAAAUGCGCAGAGAUAUGGAGGAACACCAGUGGCGAAGGCGACUUUCUGGUCUGUAACUGACGCUGAUGUGCGAAAGCGUGGGGAUCAAACAGGAUUAGAUACCCUGGUAGUCCACGCCGUAAACGAUGAGUGCUAAGUGUUAGGGGGUUUCCGCCCCUUAGUGCUGCAGCUAACGCAUUAAGCACUCCGCCUGGGGAGUACGACCGCAAGGUUGAAACUCAAAGGAAUUGACGGGGACCCGCACAAGCGGUGGAGCAUGUGGUUUAAUUCGAAGCAACGCGAAGAACCUUACCAAA